AGAGGUGUGGCGGAGUGGUUUAACGUAUUUAGUUCGAAACUAAAAGUAAUUUUUUUACCGGGGGUUCAAAUCCCCCCACCUCUU
rnacentral:tRNA from 1 species